GUUUUAUAUACAGGGUGUCCCCUAUCAUAUUAGACUAUUAACGGGCUCGUAUUUUAUGGAAGACGACAUUAAUACAUCGUAUUUACAGAUAAAACUUUGAAACACUGAAACUUUUAUGUAUGUCUAGCAGACAACGAAAUAAACACAAACAUGGGAACCCUUAAGCAGGACACAUUCAUCCGUGGUCUACAUGUAUACAAAAAGAAAUUGGCUCCUGGAGAUCAAUUGACUGUUUCUUUGGAUUGGUUUUGGAUGAACGAAAAUCCGAACAGAUACAGUGUAGCCGUGUUUGAUUCAAGGCGAAGAAAGGUUGGACACAUCGCUCGGGAAAUGGAUGGAGUUUGGGAAAAAGAAGGUGGUGAUUGAAAUACCAGCUGGAGCCAGGCAGCAUAAUGCUGGAGAUUUGGGACUCCAAAUUGCUUGCCAGCUGGUCGUACCCUUUGAUAAGAAGGAAGAUUUCAAGUGGCUUCGAGAAUACAGAGAGCAAGUCCGAAAACAUUAGGGAUGAUUAAUUUUCAACUUUUUUAGAAUGUCAAAAAAAAAAUGUUACUGCAAUUGAUACUAAAAAUUUAUAAAAAUCAAAAAAAGUAACUGGUUAAAUAAACGAUUCUUUAAAACAUAUUGCUCUUGGUAUGAAAAGAUGCACCUGGAGCCAGUAAAUACCGUUAAUUUGUUUGAAACUUUUCAAAAUUUCUUAAUAUAUGACCAAAAACUGAUAUUUUGGGACUCUCUGUUAAUGGCAACUUCAGAGUUUCAUGCGGAUCUCUUAACACCCAUAUCAAUGUUUGUUAAGAAUUAUUUUUUUCAUGCUUUAGUUAAUUUCAUUAAAAAUGAUUGGCAAUUUCUACUUGUGAAAAAAUCGUCUUUUUUAAUUGUUGUUUGAAUAAGAUGCAAUUAAGAGGGGUUGGUGCUGAUGGAUGGAAUUGUCUGGGCCCAAUAAAAAACCCCAGCAAUUUUGUUAAAUAAUAAUAAUACUAUGCAUGCACUCAUAACUUUUCUAUUUAAUUAUUUUUUCACUAAUCAAGUAAUUUGUAGUGACUCUUAAUUGAUAGAGUGGCAUUUUUGGUGCACAACUUAAAAGCUUUGUUUGACCAAUAGUUAAUUUGAUAUCCCAUUUUUUGUCUUUAAUAAAACUGAUUUUUUCAUUUAAAGGUUCUCUACAAACUUUCUUUCUUUAGAAACGAUGCAGAAAUUACAAGCACGACAUUAUCUUCCACAUUCUAGAUUAGAUUAA
rnacentral:lncRNA from 1 species